ACGAUCCUGGCCACAGAAUGAACCAGUGGCGGCGUGGAUUAGGCAUGCAAGUCGUGCGACAAGCCUUUCCUAGCUUGCUAGGAAAGGUGGAGGAGCGGCGAAAGGGAGAGUAACGCGUGGAUACCUACCCCCAGGUCCGGAUAUUAGCGGCGGGAAACUGCCGGUAAUACCGGAUGACGUCUCCGGACCACAGGUGUUUUUCCGCCUGGGGACGGGUCCGCGUCCUAUUAGCUUGUUGGUGGGGUAACCACCUACCAAAGCGAAGAUGGGUUAUCGGGUGUGAGAGCAUGGCCCGGCUCACUGGGACUGAGACUAUGCCCAGACACCACGGGUGGCUGCAGUCGAGAAUCUUCCGCAAUGGGCGCAAGCCUGACGGAGCGACGCCGCGUGCGGGAUGAAGGCCUUCGGGUUGUAAACCGCUGUCAGUGGGGAGCAAAUCCAGAGGGGGCUAUCCCCUUUGGUUGAGCGAUCCGCAGAGGAAGCGCAGGCCCAGUUCCCCCAGCAGCCGCGUAUACACGAACUGCGACUACGUUAUUCGGAAUCACUGGGCUUAAAGAGUAUCUAGGCGGCCUGGCAGGUGGGGUGUGAAUACCCACGGCUCAACCGUGGAAUUGCGCUCCAAACCGUCAGGCUCGAGAUGGAGAUAGCAGGUGAGCGGAACUGAUGGUGGAGCGGAUAAACCGCGUUGAUAUCAUCAGGAACACCGGUGGCGAAAGCGGCUCACUGGGUCUCUUCUGACGCUGAGGGAGUUACGAAAGCACAGGGGAGCGAACGGGAUUAGAUACCCCGGUAGUCCUAGCUGUAAACGAUGAGCACUAGAUCGAGGGGACCCAUCAUCCCCCUGGUCGUAGCGUAUAGUGUUAAGUGCUCCGCCUGGGGAGUAUGUGAGGCAAGGCUGAAACUCAAAGGAACCUGACGGGGGCUCCAACAAGCGGUGUUGGAUGUGGCUUAAUUCGAGGCUACGCGAAGAACUAUUAUCCUGGUCUUGACAUGCUUGGGCAUCCUCCUGAAAGGGAGGAGUGCCCUUCGGGGAGCCCUUGCACAGGUGCUGCAUGGCUGUCGUCAGCUCGUGUCGUGAGAUGUCGGGUUAAGUCCCUUAACGAGCGAAACCCUUGUCCUUAGUUGCCCAGCGGUUCGGCCGGGGACUCUAAGGAGACUGCCGGUGUUAUAGGCGGAGGAAGGUUUGAUGACGUCAAGUCCUCAUUUCUUUACAGGACCAGGGCCAGUUCACACGUCCUACAGAUGGUGCGUACAAAGGGAUGCAAACCCGCGAGGUGGAGCAAAUCCCAAAAAGCGCACCUCAGUUCGGAUUGUAGGCUGAAACCCGCCUGCAUGAAGCCGGAAUCGCUAGUAAUCGCAGGUCAGCAUACUGCGGUGAAUGUGUUCCUGAGCCUUGUACACACCGCCCGUCAAGCCACGAAAGUAAGUAGCCCGAAGUCGCUGCGGUAACCCGCAAGGGAGCUAAGUCAUCCUA
rnacentral:rRNA from 1 species